AACGAACGCUGGCGGCAUGCCUAACACAUGCAAGUCGAACGAGACCUUCGGGCCUAGUUGCGCUCGUCUACUUACCGACUGGGAACCUGCCCUUAGGUUCGGUAUAACUCCCCGUAGGGUGUCUUAAUGCCGCUUAGUUUCUUCGGGCCAAAGAUUUAUCGCUUUUGGUUGGGCCCGCGUUGGUUUAGCUAGUUGGUAGGGUAAAAGCCUACCACGGCGACGAUCCAUAGCUGGUCGGAGAGGAUGAUCAGCCACACUGGGACUGAGACACGGCCCAGACUCCUACGGGAGGCAGCAGUGGGGAAUAUUGGACAAUGGGGGAAAGCCUGAUCCAGCAAUGCCGCGUGAGUGAUGAAGGCCUUAGGGUUGUAAAGCUCUUUUACCCGGGAUGAUAAUGACAGUACCGGGAGAAUAAGCUCCGGCUAACUCCGUG
rnacentral:rRNA from 1 species